rnacentral:rRNA from 1 species
GCAAGUCGAGCGGAAACGACACUAACAAUCCUUCGGGUGCGUUAAUGGGCGUCGAGCGGCGGACGGGUGAGUAAUGCCUAGGGAACUGCCCAGUCGAGGGGGAUAACAGUUGGAAACGACUGCUAAUACCGCAUACGACCUACGGGUGAAAGGGGGCCUCUUCUUGAAAGCUCUCGCGACUGGAUGAGCCCAAGUGGGAUUAGCUUGUUGGUGAGGUAAGAGCUCACCAAGGCGACGAUCCCUAGCUGGUCUGAGAGGAUGAUC